GACGAACGCUGGCGGCGUGCUUAACACAUGCAAGUCGAACGAAGUGGCGAACGGGUGAGUAACGCGUAAUCAACCUGCCCUUCAGAGGGGGACAACAGUUGGAAACGACUGCUAAUACCGCAUACUGAUGAAGGAGUUUGCGUGUGAUUAGCUAGUUGGCGGGGUAACGGCCCACCAAGGCGAUGAGCAGUAGCCGGUCUGAGAGGAUGAACGGCCACAUUGGGAAUGGGACACGGCCCAGAAUCCUACGGGAGGCAGCAGUGGGGAAUCUUCCGAAAUGGACGAAAGUCUGACGGAGCAACGCCGCGUGAGUGAUGACGGCCUUCGGGUUGUAAAGCUCUGUUAAUCGGGACGCGGUACCGGAAUAGAAAGCCACGGCUAACUACGUGCCAGCCGCCGCGGUAAUAC
rnacentral:rRNA from 1 species